AUUGAACGCUGGCGGGAGGCCUAACACAUGCAAGUCGAACGAGUGGCGGACGGGUGAGUAAUGUAUGGGAAACUGCCUGGUGGAGGGGGAUAACUACUGGAAACAGUAGCUAAUACCGCAUACCAUCGGAUGUGCCCAGAUGGGAUUAGCUAGUAGGUGGGGUAACGGCUCACCUAGGCGACGAUCCAUAGCUGGGCUGAGAGGAUGACCAGCCACACUGGAACUGAGACACGGUCCAGACUCCUACGGGAGGCAGCAGUGGGGAAGAUUGCACAAUGGGCGCAAGCCUGAUGCAGCCAUGCCGCGUGUAUGAAGAAGGCCUUCGGGUUGUAAAGUACUUUCAGCGGGGAAGCGUUACCCGCAGAAGAAGCACCGGCUAACUCCGUGCCAGCAGCCGCGGUAAUAC
rnacentral:rRNA from 1 species